rnacentral:rRNA from 1 species
UACGGAGGGAGCUAGCGUUGUUCGGAAUUACUGGGCGUAAAGCGCACGUAGGCGGCUUUGUAAGUUAGAGGUGAAAGCCUGGGGCUCAACUCCAGAACUGCCUUUAAAAACUGCAUCGCUUGAAUCCAGGAGAGGUGAGUGGAAUUCCGAGUGUAGAGGUGAAAUUCGUAGAUAUUCGGAAGAACACCAGUGGCGAAGGCGGCUCACUGGACUGGUAAUUGACGCUGAGGUGCGAAAGCGUGGGGAGCAAACAGG